AGGGUCAGUACUAAGAAGUACUAAAUAUCUCUUUGUAAAUACUGUAUCUUAGAUUUACAUAUGUAAUAUCAACAUUUUUAUUCCCAUUGCAUUUUAGUAAUUUCUUAUUAAUCUUAUAUUCCCACUAUAUUUGCAUUUAAAAAACAUUUUAGAAGGAAGCAUAAAUUGUGAGUUGGAUUCUAGGGAAAGAUAAAGGCAAGUUC
rnacentral:lncRNA from 1 species